rnacentral:rRNA from 1 species
AAGGAGGGGAUGACGUCAAGUCAUCAUGGCCCUUACGCCCAGGGCUACACACGUGCUACAAUGGCGUAUACAGAGUGUUGCAAGCUAGUGAUAGCAAGCCAAUCACAAAAAGUACGUCUCAGUUCGGAUUGCAGGCUGCAACUCGCCUGCAUGAAGUUGGAAUCGCUAGUAAUCGCGUAUCAGCAAUGACGCGGUGAAUACGUUCCCGGACCUUGUACACACCGCCCGUCAAGCCAUGGAAGUCGGGAGGACCUGAAGGCAGUUGCUGUGAGGCGCUGUUUAGGGUUAAACUG